rnacentral:rRNA from 1 species
UACGGAGGAUCCGAGCGUUAUCCGGAAUUAUUGGGUUUAAAGGGUCCGUAGGCGGGCCGUUAAGUCAGGGGUGAAAGUCUGCGGCUCAACCGUAGGACUGCCCUUGAUACUGGCGGCCUUGAGUUAUGGUGAAGUGGCUAGAAUAUGUGGUGUAGCGGUGAAAUGCAUAGAUAUCACAUAGAACACCGAUUGCGAAGGCAGGUCACUAAUUAUACACUGACGCUGAUGGACGAAAGCGUGGGGAGCGAACAGG